rnacentral:ncRNA from 1 species
AACCUGGUUGAUCUUGCCAGUAGUCAUAUGCUUGUCUCAAAGAUUAAGCCAUGCAAGUGAAAGUAUAUGCAUAUUUUAUAUGUAGAAACUGCGAACGGCUCAUUAAAACAGUUAUAAUCUACUUGAAAUUUCUACCUUACAAGGAUAACUACGGAAAAGCUGUAGCUAAUACUUGCUUUAAUGCGUUUGAAUCCUUUUGGAUUCCCGCGUAUGUACUUGUUAAGUCUUUAAGAAAGAAGUUUAUAACUUAAGGAAUUAUAACAAAGAAGUAACACAUAAUAAGGUUGCCUUAUUUAGUGUGUAUCAAUCGAGUUUCUGACCUAUCAGCUUUUGAUGUUAGGGUAUUGGCCUAACAUGGCUAUGACGGGUAACGGGGAAUUAGAGUUCGAUUCCGGAGAGGGAGCCUGAGAAAUAGCUACCACAUCUAAGGAAGGCAGCAGGCGCGUAAAUUACCCAAUUCUAAAGAAGAGAGGUAGUGACAAGAAAUAACAAUACAAGGCCAUUUCAUGGUUUUGUAAUUGGAAUGAUGGGAAUUUAAAACCUUCCCAAAAUUCAAUUGGAGGGCAAGUCUGGUGCCAGCAGCCGCGGUAAUUCCAGCUCCAAUAGCGUAUAUUAAAAUUGUUGCAGUUAAAACGCUCGUAGUUGAAUUUCAAAGAAUCAAUAUUUUAAGUAAUACUUUUGCUAUAAGA